rnacentral:rRNA from 1 species
GAGCGGUAACAGGCGUAGCAAUACGUGCUGACGAGCGGCGAACGGGUGAGUAAUGCCUCGGAAUCUGCCCAGUAGUGGGGAAUAACCAUCCGAAAGGAUGGCUAAUACCGCAUACGUCCUACGGGAGAAAGCGGGGGAUCGUAAGACCUCGCGCUAUUGGAUGAGCCGAAGCCGGAUUAGCUAGUUGGUAGGGUAACGGCCUACCAAGGCGACGAUCCGUAGCUGGUCUGAGAGGACGACCAGCCACACUGGGACUGAGACACGGCCCAGACUCCUACGGGAGGCAGCAGUGGGGAAUAUUGGACAAUGGGGGAAACCCUGAUCCAGCGACGCCGCGUGUGUGAAGAAGGCCUGCGGGUUGUAAAGCACUUUUAGUGGGGAUGAAAAGUGCAGAGCUAAUAUCUCUGCAUCUUGACCUAACCCAAAGAAAAAGCACCGGCUAACUCUGUGCCAGCAGCCGCGGUAAUACAGAGGGUGCGAGCGUUAAUCGGAAUUACUGGGCGUAAAGCGUGCGUAGACGGUAGCGUAAGUCAGAUGUGAAAGCCCCGGGCUCAACCUGGGAACUGCAUUUGAGACUGCACUGCUUGGGUGCGGAAGAGGGAAGCGGAAUUUCCGGUGUAGCGGUGAAAUGCGUAGAUAUCGGAGGGAACACCAGUGGCGAAAGCGGCUUCCUGGUCCGACACCGACGUUCAGGCACGAAAGCGUGGGGA